AACGAACGCUGGCGGCAGGCCUAACACAUGCAAGUCGAGCGGAUGAGUGGAGCUUGCUCCAUGAUUCAGCGGCGGACGGGUGAGUAAUGCCUAGGAAUCUGCUGGGUAGUGGGGGACAACGUUUCGAAGGGAACGCUAAUACCGCAUACGUCCUACGGGAGAAAGUGGGGGAUCUUCGGACUUCACGCUAUCAGAGGAGCCUAGGUCGGAUUAGCUAGUUGGUGACGUAAAGGCUCACCAAGGCGACGAUCCGUAACUGGUCUGAGAGGAUGAUCAGUUACACUGGAACUGAGACACGGGCCAGACUCCAACGGGAGGCAGCAGUGGGGAAUAUUGGACAAUGGGCGAAAGCCUGAUCCAGCCAUGCCGCGUGUGUGAAGAAGGUCUUCGGAUUGUAAAGCACUUUAAGUUGGGAGGAAGGGCAGUAAGUUAAUACCUUGCUGUUUUGACGUUACCAACAGAAUAAGCACCGGCUAACUUCGUGCCAGCAGCCGCCGUAACAC
rnacentral:rRNA from 1 species